GGAUGUGAGGGCGAUCUGGCUGCGACAUCUGUCACCCCAUUGAUCGCCAGGGUUGAUUCGGCUGAUCUGGCUGGCUAGGCGGGUGUCCCCCUCCUCCCUCACCGAUCUAUGUGCGUCCGUCCCGAAGCUGUGCGUUCGGUCGAAGAGGACGACCUCCCCCCCACCCCCCCCAGGAGAGGACCGGUCUUCGGUCAGGGGUAUAUGAGUAGCUGCGCUCCCCUGCUAGAACCUCCAAACAAGCUCUCAAGGUCCAAAUACAUAGCAUUAAAUGUAGCAGUAAUAUUAUGGUAUGUUUU
rnacentral:snRNA from 1 species